AGAGUUUGAUCAUGGCUCAGGAUGAACGCUGGCGGCGUGCUUAACACAUGCAAGUCGAACGAGGUCCAUGGAGCUUGCUCCGGAAGAUCUAGUGGCGAACGGGUGCGUAACACGUGAGAAACCUGCCCCGAUCUCUGGGAUAACAGUUGGAAACGACUGCUAAUACCGGAUGCCGUCACACCGCUUCAUGGCGGAGUGACGAAAGAUUUAUCGGAUUGGGAGGGUCUCGCGGCCUAUCAGCUAGUUGGAGAGGUAACGGCUCACCAAGGCAUCGACGGGUAGCUGGUCUGAGAGGAUGAUCAGCCACACUGGGACUGAGACACGGCCCAGACUCCUACGGGAGGCAGCAGUGGGGAAUCUUGCACAAUGGGCGAAAGCCUGAUGCAGCAACGCCGCGUGCGGGAUGAAGGCCCUAGGGUUGUAAACCGCUUUCAGUAGGGAAGAAAAUGACGGUACCUACAGAAGAAGGUGCGGCCAACUACGUGCCAGCAGCCGCGGUGACACGUAGGCACCAAGCGUUAUCCGGAUUUAUUGGGCGUAAAGAGCUCGUAGGCGGUUUGGUAAGUCGGGUGUGAAAACUCUGGGCUCAACCCAGAGAGGCCACCCGAUACUGCUAUGACUAGAGUACGGUAGGGGAGCGGGGAAUUCAUGGUGUAGCGGUGAAAUGCGCAGAUAUCAUGAGGAACACCAGCGGCGAAGGCGCCGCUCUGGGCCGUAACUGACGCUGAGGAGCGAAAGCAUGGGUAGCAAACAGGAUUAGAUACCCUGGUAGUCCAUGCCGUAAACGUUGGGCACUAGGUGUGGGUCUCAACCAACGAGAUCCGCGCCGUCGCUAACGCAUUAAGUGCCCCGCCUGGGGAGUACGGUCGCAAGACUAAAACUCAAAGGAAUUGACGG
rnacentral:rRNA from 1 species